CUUCCGCUCAAAGACCCACAUAAAAACCUUUUUGACUAAUUAACUAAGUAAUUGACGUGUAAUCAUUCCAAUGCAAGAAUAAGAGUCACAUACAUAAAUAUUAUUACUGUGUCUCCUCAUCCCCGCCUUCUUGGUAGCAGCACUAGUUUUACAGACUUGUACAAACCUGGAUUGAGGAAACUGGACUGGAACAAACAUCUUCCCCAUUGCACGAGGUCUUGAUGAGGUGGUCGGUGACGAAUAAACAACCAGAGAAUUUGUUAGCAUGUCCACCCACGAUGUCGACACAAUCCAUAACACCGUUGAUAAACGCAAGGUUGUCUUUUUCCGUCAGGUUGAAAGGAAAUAUUGGGGUAUGAUUUUAUAUCCACGCGAAGGGCAGUGCUUACUGCAUUCACACCAAUAGCCGAAGGAAAGGGUGAAUCAUUUCACGUCAGUCAAUGCCAGGUUUAACAGGUUUUGCAUUUCAUCAAACAAUGAGCUGUCAAUAUUUGUGCUUCUCUUCACACGGAGCAACUGAUUCCCACGAUUCCUGGAGGCUUUAACUGCAAGCUCUGGGGGAUCCAAAGAAGAUCUUGAAAUUUUGAUGAGAACCUGCCACAUAGAUCAGAGGAUGUGGGGGGGAUGGGCUGUUUGUUUUGGGUGAAGGAGGUGACUCUUGAAAGAGUUCUUUCUGUCCUCUUCUAUGCUGUCAGAGGAAGAAAAAAGAAGAGAGAAAACAAAUAGAGGGGACAGGGGAGUGAUCGAGCUGCAAGCAGACAUAAGGAAAAGGUUGUCUGGAGGUUUAACAGGAAAAUCUAAAAGCUUUAGGCGAUUGCCACAAGCUGAGAACUAAGAAGCAUUUACACUUGGAUAGGGGAAGUUUAUCCCCAUGUUGCAUUAUCUAAUAGAAGUGAAAAGGCUCAAAUUGUUGUAAUAUUUUGUUAUUAUAAUUAAGAGAAUAAACUACAUAACUUGCUGUUC